GGAAGGAUCAUUAACACGUAUCCACGUAUCAACCACGUUGAACUGUACACUGCGUUGUAUGCAAAGAACGAAAGGCUAGGUGGUAAGGAGCGUUUAUUCGCUCUCGUCUCCGUUUUGCUGAUUUCUUCUUUGGGGCAACUCAAAGGGGCGGAUCGUGCUGCAGCGCAGUGAUUGCCACAAAUUGUUUAACCACUAUGAACUUAUGUACUAAUAUCAAAUCUUACAGGGUCCUUCUUGCUCACGCGAGAGCCCCUUAAGUAUUUUACGAAAAUUUUGAACAACUCUUAGCAACGGAUAUCUUGGUUUCCGCACCGAUGAAGAACGCAGCGAAAUGCGAUACGUAAUGCGAAUUGCAGAAUUCAGUGAAUCAUCAAAUUUUUGAACGCAACUGGCGCUUUCGGGAUAGCCCUGAAAGCACGUUUCUCUGAGUAUCGGUUCUACCUCAUCUCGACUGCGUCCGCGCAGUUCGGUCAUUGAAUGUCACGAAGACCCGAAACUCUUGUCGUGUCAUUUUAAGUUGUGUGUCAAUGCUCACUCGAGUUUGUCAUUGCCUUCGGGCAACUGUGUGAACCAGCCUUGGUCCACCUGACAACCGGUGACGUGGGAUAAUUUCACCUUCGUGUGAAUACAAACUUUCUCCGUCGCGUCCGGUAUCAGGUUUGAGUUUCGAAGCUCUUCACAUGGUAAAGCAGACUUUAUAGUGGCAUUGUCUUUUUCAUUAACAAAAGGAGCUCACAAGGCUUCUGGCGUUAUGUCAUAUUUUCUCAGAAUUAGAUCUCAGAUGAAGCGAGAGGACCCGCUAAAUUUAAGCAUAUUAUUAAGCGGAGGAAAAGAAACUAACAAGGAUUCCCCUAGUAACGGCGAGUGAAGCGGGAGAAGCUCAAAUUGAAAAUCGGGAACCCUAAUAGGCUUCCGAAUUGUAGUCUAGAGAUGCUCUGCCAGCGAUCGACCGAGGUAUAAAUUUUUUUGGAACAAGGUAUCAUAGAGGGUGAGAAUCCCGUCUGUGACCUCGAGUUCGUCGCGUACGGCAAGUAUUCAAUGAGUCGAAUAGCUUGGGAUUGCUGUUCUAAAUUGGUGGUAAAUUUCAUCAAAAGCUAAAUAUUGGCGGAAGACCGAUAGCGAACAAGUACCGUGAGGGAAAGAUGAAAAGAACUUUGAAAAGAGAGUUAAAAAGUACUUGAAAUUGUUAAGAGGGAAGCACUGGAAACCAGUAGCUGCCGAGUUUCUAUAUUUACUAUCCAGCUGCGAAGGGCCUGGAGCACGGGAGGGCAACCCUCGGGCUUUAGGUCGGACGUAGAUGGGUGGGUCCUGUAGAGCUUGGCGAGUCAGAAUCAAGUAGAUCCGCGGGAGAAAAUCGGUGGUAAGGUCACCCCUACUUCGGGAAGGGUAGAGACCGCCGACGAUACCGUGAGUUUGCUUGAGGUGGUGAGAACAGGCGCCGUUCGCGGCUCUGUCCGCCGAUCCCUGGUAUGUGGUUUGUCUUGGAUAACAAAGUUAUGCGGAUAGAGAAGCGUACCAUUGGGUUGGACUGGAUAAGAUGUCUGUUAGCGAUUCUGACGAAAUGGUUUUCAUUGACCCGUCUUGAAACACGGACCAAGGAGUCUAACAUAUAUGCGAGUAUUUGGGUGGUAAACCCUGAUGCGUAAUGAAAGUAAAGGCAGCUUCUGUUGCUUAGGUAGGAAUUUGGGCUUCGGCCUGAAGGCACUAUCGACCGAUCGUUCACUUGUGAAAGAUUUGAGUAAGAGCAUAUCUGUUGGGACCCGAAAGAUGGUGAUCUAUGCCUGAACAGGGUGAAGCCAGGGGAAACUCUGGUGGAGGCUCGUAGCGAUACUGACGUGCAAAUCGUUCGUCUGAUUUGGGUAUAGGGGCGAAAGACUAAUCGAACUAUCUAGUUGCUGGUUCCCGC
rnacentral:misc_RNA from 1 species